rnacentral:snRNA from 1 species
UUGCUCGGUAGCACAUAUACUCACGUCGGAAUAAUACAGAGAGGAUUAGCAUGGCCCCUGAGCAAGGGUGACAUGCAAAGGACUCCGGGAGGGAGGACUAAAUAAAU